UACGUAGGGGUGCAAGCGUUGUCCGGAAUUACUGGGCGUAAAGGGCCAGUAGGCGGCCGACUAAGUCCGACGUGAAAUCCCCAGGCUUAACCUGGGAACUGCGUCGGAUACUGGAUGGCUUGAAUUCGGGAGAGGGAUGCAGAAUUCCAGGUGUAGCGGUGAAAUGCGUAGAUAUCUGGAGGAAUACCGGUGGCGAAGGCGGCAUCCUGGACCGACAUUGACGCUGAACGGCGAAAGCUAGGGGAGCAAACGGG
rnacentral:rRNA from 1 species